rnacentral:lncRNA from 1 species
AGCACAGUGAGCAGGGGCCACACCAGCCCCGAGAUGCAUAACUGUUCCUUCACAAAAAGAGGGAUUGGAGACAAAACACAGUCAGGGAUUAAAGCCAAGACAGCCUGUGACCAACAUCUGAACCAGGUGAACAGAGGGAUGUUCUCAGACCAGCUCCCUAUGCCCAAAAAAUAUGACCUUUCACGUAGGUACAGGGGAAUUCAACACCAGCAGGAGCUGGGUCUCCCAGACCAGACCUGUGACCAACAUAAAAUUACAGAAAAGUUAGGAAUGACCCACUGUCCACAUGGAGGCACCAAGGGGCACAACCAUUCCUUUGGAUAUAGAAAACUUGGAGACCAACAACAGCC